UUAAGGUUGUCACUCACAACUUGUUGACAAAUUGUUGAAUUGCAGGACGAUAAUAAGUUGUUGGAACAACAUGUAUUAGGUCUGUUGAGCUCUACAACCUUGUAGCAAGUUGUCAACAAGCCGUUGACAACUUGUCAACAAGCUGGGAAUAAGAAGUGCGAACAUAUCCUGUUGAAACAGCAUUGCUACAAGUCUGCUGCAGGUUUGUUUAAUACAACUUGUGCGUUUUUAUGUGCAUGUGUAGUUUCUCUGUUUAUUGUAUUGCUAAAGCAUCAUUGACAGACUUUAUAUAGUCUACUGUUCUUUUGACUGAAAAGUGUUGAUCUGAGGAAUUCUUGAACUUUUUUGCCAUGCCAAUUUAACAUGCAUGUCUUAAUUGAUUUAAAUGUUUUUAUUAGCAGAUUUAUCACAGCACAAUCCUUAAUUAAGCAAUAGGGGGGAAGUCAGUCCAGAGAUACUUGUACCCCAAGAAAAUUUUACAGACGACACCCUUUAGUGACACCCUUAAUCAGUGGUAGACUUUUCUUGGAUUGUUUUAGUGGCCAAGCAUUGUUAUAUUAUUAUCAGUCAAUUCCUUGGAAAACACU